GAUGAACGCUGGCGGCGUGCCUAAUACAUGCAAGUCGAGCGAACAGACGAGGAGCUUGCUCCUCUGACGUUAGCGGCGGACGGGUGAGUAACACGUGGAUAACCUACCUAUAAGACUGGGAUAACUUCGGGAAACCGGAGCUAAUACCGGAUAAUAUAUUGAACCGCAUGGUUCAAUAGUGAAAGACGGUUUUGCUGUCACUUAUAGAUGGAUCCGCGCCGCAUUAGCUAGUUGGUAAGGUAACGGCUUACCAAGGCGACGAUGCGUAGCCGACCUGAGAGGGUGAUCGGCCACACUGGAACUGAGACACGGUCCAGACUCCUACGGGAGGCAGCAGUAGGGAAUCUUCCGCAAUGGGCGAAAGCCUGACGGAGCAACGCCGCGUGAGUGGUGAAGGUCUUCGGAUCGUAAAACUCUGUUAUUAGGGAAGAACAAAUGUGUAAGUAACUAUGCACGUCUUGACGGUACCUAAUCAGAAAGCCGCGGCUAACUACGUG
rnacentral:rRNA from 1 species